rnacentral:rRNA from 1 species
GAAUCAACGCUGGCGGCGUGCCUAACACAUGCAAGUCGAACGCGAAAGCCCCGCAAGGGGUUAGUAGAGUGGCAAACGGGUGAGUAACACGUGGGUGACCUGCCUCAGAGUGGGGGAUAACGACCCGAAAGGGUCGCUAAUACCGCAUAACAUCCUGCCUUUGGAUAGGCGGAGAUCAAAGCCGGGGAUCGCAAGACCUGGCGCUUAGAGAGGGGCCCCNCGGCCGAUUAGCUAGUUGGGAGGUAACGGCUCACCAAGGCGACGAUCGGUAUCCGGCCUGAGAGGGCGGACGGACACACUGGGACUGAGACACGGCCCAGACUCCUACGGGAGGCAGCAGUGGGGAAUUGUUCGCAAUGGGCGAAAGCCUGACGACGCAACGCCGCGUGGAGGACGAAGACC